AUUGAACGCUGGCGGCAGGCCUAACACAUGCAAGUCGAACGAGUGGCGGACGGGUGAGUAAUGUCUGGGAAACUGCCUGAUGGAGGGGGAUAACUACUGGAAACGGUAGCUAAUACCGCAUACCAUCGGAUGUGCCCAGAUGGGCAUAGCUAGUAGGUGGGGUAACCGCCCCCCUAGGCGACGAUCCCUAGCUGGUCUGGGCUGAUGACCAGCCACACUGGAACUGAGACACGGUCCAGACUCCUGCGGUAGGCAGCAGUGGGGAAUAUUGCACAAUGGGCGCAAGCCUGAUGCAGCCAUGCCGCAGGUAUGAAGAAGGCCUUCGGGUUUUAAAGUACUUUCAGCGGGGAGGCGUUACCCGCAGAAGAAGCACCGGCUAACUCCGUGCCAGCAGCCGCGGUAAUUC
rnacentral:rRNA from 1 species